AAAAUGGACACCAGCAGCAGCUGCAGGAGUCUGUGCUGCUCUCCUGCUUUUAAUACCCCUCACUGUCUUCUUGUGGAUUAGAAGAAAGAAGACUUCCAGUCAAUCUCCUCCAACUGAAACGUCAGACAAUAUGGAGCAGAUAAACUCUGGUUCCCUGUAUGACGAAAUCUCCACUCAACCAACAGAGCAGGAUGAGCUUCACUAUAGCAGAGGCCACUUCUCCAGGAACCAGACAAAUCCUCUCUACUCCACAGUCCAGCGACAUCCGCCCCGACAACAGGAGCAUGUGCACUAUGCUGUUGUCAACUUUAGACAAAGCAGGAUCCCUGCAUGAACAUUUAUUAUCAUUACAAAGGCUUUAGACUUUGUUACCUUGCUCUCACAGACAAGUAGCAGUUAAACAAGUCUUAAAAAACACUCAAAAACAAACUGACACAUUGCAACUGUUACAAGUACCAACCAUCACCUCCCAUAAUCUACAGAAUUUUCUCUGUCUAAUAAGCUGAGAGCAGGGGGAUCAACUAAGCUGUAGAUAAGAGAUCUUUGGUCUUCACACACAUUUCCCAUGAACGACAUCACAUCAUCACAGACUGAAAAAAACAACAACGAGCACACAACCCACAGGCGUGUUGAGAACAUGUGGCCACAUGUAGCUAUCUCCCACUGAGAGUACGACACUAAGUAGUGUAGGCGAUAACGUAAUGCUUGUACUCAGCAGUGUGGAUCGUCUACCCUUCAAUUUCAUAUCACAC